GCCUGGUGGCAGAUGACCAGCACAUUCUCUUGCCUCUCCAGCUCCAUGAUGACAGGCUCGAGCCGCUGGACCAGGUCCUCGUAAGACUGCAAGUGCAAGUGGGAAGGGUCCCUCAGGCCCUGCUCCAGGGGGCCCUUGGCUGAACCCUCCACUGCUGGAACUCACAUGCUGGCAACUGAGGACUGGUAGGAGGCACUGUGCCCUUCCAGCCCACAGUAGAUGGAGUGCACAGAAAUCGCUGUGGGGGCAGGGGCAAUAAAGGCUCCCAAAACUUCCUGGAA